AUGAGGCUCCCUGUGCGUCCUGCAGCUCCUCUCUCCGUCCUCCUGCUCCACGUUUUGGCGGAGGCGGCGGCCUCGGCAGGCUCUGUGUCCCCGAGCCGGCUGGAGCGUUGGGUCCGCUCGGGCCUCCAGUCCCUGCAGUGGGACCAGCUGGACCGGUGCCUCCGCAUGUCCUCGCUCUCCGAGGCCGAGUGCAGGCAGCUCGCCCACCUGCCGCCGUCCGCCGUGGCUGUGUACGUGUCGGAGCCUCGCUCUGCUGCAGGUAACCCGGACAAAGUGCUGGCCAUCCUGCCGGACUCCUCCGGCGGGACGGUGAGCUCCAAAGCGCGGGCAGGUUUCAGCGUCAGCCAGGUCCUGAACGGAGGGGACGGUCCCCGCAGACACCAGCAGGCCUUUCCCAGCUCCACGGCCCACGAUGCCGUGCUGGUGCUGGAUCCGAGCCCUGGGGAGAACUUCGGACACCCGGUGGUCCUCUUCUACGUGGACGUGAACGUAACGAAGAAGAGGUGCACCCACCUGGAUGGCAUUUACCUGGGUGACGAGUGUUUGACUCUGGCCUUAAAGGGCCGUUGUCAGAACCAGAUGAAACGUCGGCAACCCGGGCCAGAGAGGCUCAUGGGCAACGGACACAGCCGGGUGGCGGCUGGGGCGCCGCGCGGCGGGACCAUCGUCACCAGUGGAGGCGGCCGUGUGGUGGAGCAAGCCGUUGGCGGGCUGUGCGAAGUCCACUUCCUCCCGCUGGUGGUCGGAGUCGGAGACAGCAACCGGACACAGAGACUCAGAUGUGUUGAUCACGCAGAGUUUGCCAGGUGCCCCCAGCCUCUGCCGAUGGGAUCUCCCAGUCUGCCUGUUUCCAGCUGCGAGCUGAAUAAAAACACCAGGCGCUGCCACCAGCAGCCGCUGGCCACUCACCUGUCCUGCCGGCUGUACCAGACCUGCGACCACGCCGUCCUCAUCUCAGGCGGCUGGCAGCAACAGAUGACGUUUCAGUACCACGUUCAGAACCUUCAGAGGUUUUACCGAAUGCUGCGGAACAACGGUUUCCAUAAAGACCACAUCAAGACCUUCUUCGCCAGCAGCGGACAACUCCCUGGCGACAUCGAGGGCGUCUACUCUGCGACGGAGAAAGCUGUGAUCCGUAACCACGUGUCGUACGUCUGCAGGAAGCAGCACUGCGCCGAUACGUUGGUUCUCUACCUGAACUCCCCGACGCGCAACGACGGCACCAUGCUGCUGUGGGACGCCAACCUCAACGGCAUCGCCGACCUGAAGGAGCGAUACUCGGUCAACGAGCUGUUGGCCGACCUGGCGGGCUGCAGGGCCACCCGUGUUCUGCUGUUUGUUGACCAGAGCUACAGCGGCGUUCUGUCCAAGAGGCUGCGCGGGUCCCAAAAACACCCCAACGUGGUCCUGAUCCAGAGCCCACCCCGGCAGGCCCACAACCACCAGAACCAGAGGCCGAACCCGGGCUCGGAGGACAGCGGCUGGUCCCUCAUCGGCCCUGCGGUCUGCCUGCUGGACCACCUGGGGAAGGGCGCGGGGACAUCUCGCCUCCCGGAGCCGUGGGCCGGCCUUUUAAACGUGACCCUGGCGGGCGCUCCCUGCAACGCCACGCCGCCCCUGACGGACGGAGAGAUGCGGCGGGAGUACCACGGCUGCCAGAACCUGCCGACGGCGCUCUGGCACCAGAAACACAGGAGGAGCAACUGAGGGAGAGAGACACUGACACUGACCAGGAGAGAGAGAGAGAGAGAGAGAUACUGAGAAAGCAUUAAUCAUGGACACAGACACACAAACACACACACUUUUACACAAGUGUUUGCAUCACACACACACACACACGUGCAUAUUUCUGGGAGUGUGUUGGUGUAGGACUUAGCUGCAGUGUGCUCGGCAGACAACGAUGCGCUGCUCGCUUUGUGUCCUGACUCUGAACUCGAGACUGUAACCAUGACGAUGACAGCUCAUCCCAAUGGGAGUGUCCUGAACACCAUGUGAACAGUGUGUGCGUGUGUGAGUUCAGCAAAAGGACAACCACUCUUGGAGACAAUUACUAGCUCACACUCGGGUCGGUGUGUGUCUGUGUGUGUUUGUACACCACAUCUCCUGGGCACGUUAACAUUUCAGAGCCAAUCACCCGCCUCUGUUUUAAUCUUUACGACAGUUAUUUCUUCCUCCUGUUUCCUCUCAUCUCCUUUGUUUCUUUGUUUCUCCCAAACUGCCUCCAUCCUUUUCCAUAUUCCUCUUAAUUCCCUUCUUCUUCUUUUUGUUUUUUUAAAUGUUUGACCUUUUCCUCAACCCCGUCCUCCAUCAUUUUCACUUUAGCUCUUUCUACCUGUUGUCUCUGUUUCUGUCUCCCCCAUUUCUAACCACAAUAAACCGUUGAAUACUGAACGACAGAGUCACAGAGGAGCAGAAACUGGACCUGAAGUCCGAGGCAGAGAGUGAGCUCUGAAGCUCAGUAUUAAGAAUGUUUAGAGAAAAUUGUGAAAGACACAAAUUGGACUGGAGGUCUCUAAACCAACAGCGUGUCCGUCCAUCGUCCAUUUUCGUCCUUUCCUCAGUCAGCCGGGCGUCACAGUUUUCAGCAAACAUUACUCAACACAAGGCCGAAUGAUGCAUUUGUGGGAACUACUUUCAGCCGAGGAUGAACACGCCGUAUUUUGUGUGUGUGUGCUGAUUCAGCAUAAACUGCGGCGCCCGUAAUGGUUUUAAUCUGUGCUGGUGACGUGCGCUCAUGAGAUAUUAUUGUUAGCUUAGAGAAAAAUAAGAAUGCUCCAACCUCCGUUAGAGAAAAUGAGACUGAUUUGAUAAGAUGGACAGACGUCUUCCGUCUCCAACGCCCACGUCGGACAGAUAAAGUGUAAACCGCAAAUGACUCGUUGGCGGUGAUCAUGAUUAAGAUAUGAAGCACGGAGACAUUUUCAUAAAGGCACAACUGUGCAUGUGUGUGUGCGUGCACAUGAAUCAUGCACACGUUCUAAUAUUAACCCUACACUAACAACGUAUGUGCAGUCUUUUGCUGGUACACUGUGAUUUUUGUGCGUGUGCAUUACUUCCUGUCUUCUUCCACCCCAACACACACACAGACACACACACACACACACACACACACACACACACACACCCCACCCGCCCGCCCCAGCUCUGUUUUGUAUUGAUGUUUGCUGUUGUACUGACUUUCCUAUAGAGAUUCAUUUACUCAAGUGCUGGAGGAUGAUCAGAAGGACGACCUUCCAAAAGACAUGGACGCUUUGGACCAGAACUGUCCAACCAACAGGUUGACGUGUGCAUAUUCACAGUUUGUGUAAUGAGCUGUACAGAAUACGAGAUGUAAUUUAGCAGAAAAUGUUUCUAGUUGCAUGCAGCAUCACAAAAUCUAGUCAAUAAAAGUACUUUUAGAAAGCAGAGAGCAGAUUUAUUGGUCUGGUUUCCAGCUCGGCGGUGAGGAGUCAAAGUUAUUACCAAUUUCUACAAUCUGCACAGGCCGAGGAACCACUUUUCCCAAAAUCUUCAUGUUAUGGUGCACAAAUUGCUCACAACAUCCUGUUUGUAAAGGUAGAGACAUUUGGUUUAAUCGAAAUGACAUUUUAAACUUGCCAUCCUUUUUUCUGUCCGGCUUUCCUGUUUCAUCGAGACAAAAAGGGCCAAAAAAAUAAAAUGACAGUAAAUCAUCAUGCACUUGGAAUCUUUCACUGAUAAUUCUGUUAAAAACAUUUUUAAACGUGACAACCUGUAAACGCUAUUUAUGGCCAAUGCAAAAUAUAAACCACGUGUCUGAUUGUUGGCCACCUUUAAUAUUCCCCCAGAGACACAAAGUCAGAAAUAAAGACAGUAGCUGAAUAAAAGAAACAAACAUUAAAAAGAUGGAGUGCAAACUGCAUAAAAGCUGCUGACUCCAGUGUGGGAACAGAUUUUCCUCUUUUAAUGUCGUUAAAAGUAGUUUGUUCACACAUCCAGUGGUCACAGAACAUUAGUACUGAUUCUUCAGGCUCUAUAGCUGCAGGUUGCGUUCAUCACGACACGCGUUGUCAAACUGUGUACAAACUGUCACUUUGUACAAGAUUAUAUUUGCUUUGAAGAAAACAGUGAUCAUAAUAAUAAUGAGUGAGCUGUUAAUAAUCAGUUAGUCGUUACUUUGACAGAAAAGUCACCGGAACAUGAAACCAACAGGAUGAAAGGAGCUUAUGAAGAAACCCAAAGAAAGACUUCCUGUUCCAGUUUUUUCUUUUUUUAUUUCUACAAAGAAAGAAACAUCAUCUCCAUCUGUCUCACUCUGGCCCUCAGGCUGCUGAUAUAGUUUUACCCUAAACAGUGACCUUUGACCUCAGCACUUUCAGCCCAUCCGGGAUGUUUUGACCUAAACAGUCACAGUAACAUAAUCGCUGCCCUUUUUUUUUUUUUAAAUAAUGAAUCUUCACGGGCCAACCAGAGGAACUUUUACCUUGACAUUUUGUAGAAAAUAAAAAUGUGCAUUGCAACAUCUCUACCAUUGCUGUUCGCUGUCGGGUUUUUAUGCAGCUUUAGUUAUUUAUUGAGGGAAUUCAUGUCUCUCAGCCAUUCACUUUAAGUCUUAAGCCAAAAAUCUAAUUGAGUUUAUAUGAAAGAACAUCCGCCCUGCAGUCGUCAUGAAGGAGGAAAUAAGCAAUUUAAAUCAAGAAUGCAGAUUUGAUGACUUCUCAGGCCCAACGUCUACUUUUUACAUACAGUCGAUGAGUCACUUUUUGACGCAGCUGCGGUUUUUGUCACUUGAGUGUUGUUUUCAUUAUUCAGCCUCAGAAGUCAGGCAGAAGGGGAUGAAAUGUUAACGCUGUGUCACCUUCAGGAAAGGGGAAGUAACCAGAUGCAGAUGCAGGUAUAUUCAUGUUCUCACCUAAGAGCCUGUUGGAGUAAUAACAGCUGAAAUUGAAUCCUUCUUCCAGAUGACCUGUGAGCGUUACAGCAGAAGUUUUUACUCGUACCAGAAAAAAUUUGGACAUGGCCUCUUGAGAUUUGCGUUUAAAAGGCUUCAGGUGCUUCACAUCAGUUGCAGCAGGGAGUCUUUGUUCUUCAUCCCACCUUACAAUCUCUGCAUUACUCACCUCUGUGUCUGCGUGUCAGCUAAUAAAGGCUAAGCAGCUGAAGUUAGAGCGUGCCGAGGAGUGAACCGACUGUGAAUCUUCAGCCGUUCGCAGAGCAAAGGAUGCAUCGUUAAUUUUAAUGGGGAAUCCAGCUGUGGGAUGGACAGGUGAAGCUGAGACAGCUUCAGAUGGUUGUGUUGUUAUUGCCGCUCAGCCUCGGGGGGGGAAUGAACGACAACAGCAGUGCAGACGUGGUUUUACAAGCAGCCGAAGAGUUUCCACGAGAACACAACAGAUAUGACGAGGUGUGUGAAGGGUUUCAUACUCAGGUUCCUCGGGUCUGAUUGUUGGUCUGCGUUUCUGUGUGUGCGUGGAGAGUUUUCUGUUGUUUCGUCCACAUGGCUGCGUACAGACCUCCCUGGACCAGCAGCUCCUCGUGCCUGAAAAGAACAGGACGAGAACUGAGACGAGGAAA
rnacentral:lncRNA from 1 species